rnacentral:tRNA from 1 species
AAGGGUAUAGCUCAAGUGGUAGAGCACACGCUUAGAAUGCAUGAGGUCCUAGGUUCAAUCCCCAAUACCUCCU